AUUAAAUUGGCAGAAAUUAUGCUUUAAAUUUAGGGUUUAACUAAAUGAUCAAUAUCAUAUUUAAUA
rnacentral:tRNA from 1 species